rnacentral:rRNA from 1 species
UGAGGAAUAUUGGUCAAUGGGCGGGAGCCUGAACCAGCCAAGCCGCGUGGGGGAAGAAGGCCCUAUGGGUCGUAAACCUCUUUUGUCAGGGAACAAAAGCGAGUAUGUAUACUGGUCUGAGUGUACCUGAAGAAAAAGCAUCGGCUAACUCCGUGCCAGCAGCCGCGGUAAUACGGAGGAUGCGAGCGUUAUCCGGAUUUAUUGGGUUUAAAGGGUGCGUAGGCGGCGGUGCAAGUCAGCGGUAAAAGCCCGGGGCUCAACCCCGGCGAGCCGUUGAAACUGCAGUGCUAGAGAAGGCGAGAGGUACGCGGAAUGCGCAGUGUAGCGGUGAAAUGCUUAGAUAUUGCGCAGAACUCCGAUUGCGAAGGCAGCGUACUGGCGCCUGACUGACGCUGAGGCACGAAAGCGUGGGGAUCGAACAGGAUUAGAUACCC